rnacentral:rRNA from 1 species
UACAGAGGUCUCGAGCGUUAGGCGGAAUCACUGGGCUUAAAGCGUGUGUAGGCGGAUGCUUAAGUACCUUGUGAAAUCCCACAGCUUAACUGUGGAACUGCUUGGUAUACUGGGUGUCAUGAGUCACUCAGGGGCGAGCGGAACAAAUGGUGGAGCGGUGAAAUGCGUAGAUAUCAUUUGGAACGCCAAUGGUGAAAACAGCUCGCUGGGGGUGCACUGACACUGAGACACGAAAGCCAGGGGAGCGAACGGG